rnacentral:rRNA from 1 species
CGCAGCAGGCGCGAAAACUUUACAAUGCGGGAAACCGUGAUAAGGGGACACCGAGUGCCAGCAUCAUAUGCUGGCUGUCCAGAUGUGUAAAAUACAUCUGUUAGCAAGGGCCGGGCAAGACCGGUGCCAGCCGCCGCGGUAACACCGGCGGCCCGAGUGGUGAUCGUGAUUAUUGGGUCUAAAGGGUCCGUAGCCGGUUUGGUCAGUCCUCCGGGAAAUCUGAUGGCUCAACCAUUAGGCUUUCGGGGGAUACUGCCAGGCUUGGAACCGGGAGAGGUAAGAGGUACUACAGGGGUAGGAGUGAAAUCUUGUAAUCCCUGUGAGACCACCUGUGGCGAAGGCGUCUUACCAGAACGGGUUCGACGGUGAGGGACGAAAGCUGGGGGCACGAACCGGAUUAGAUACCCGGGUAGUCCCAGCCGUAAACGAUGCUCGCUAGGUGUCAGGCAUGGCGCGACCGUGUCUGGUGCCGCAGGGAAGCCGUGAAGCGAGCCACCUGGGAAGUACGGCCGCAAGGCUGAAACUUAAAGGAAUUGGCGGGGGAGCACAACAACGGGUGGAGCCUGCGGUUUAAUUGGACUCAACGCCGGACAACUCACCGGGGACG